UGGCGUUUUAGCUCUACUCUGCUCUGGAGAUGUCUGCUCUGCUCUGGAUGUUGGCUCUGCUCUGGCGAGCGGGCCUUCAGCUUUGGCGCGGGCCUUCAGCUCUGGCCAGCUCUGCUCUGCACACCAAAACACCUAAAAAACACCAAUUUCAUCCACAAUUGCACUCUUCUAUCUAUAAAACCUAAAUCUCCUGCAAAGCAUAAAACAACACAUAAAACGCACCAAUUUCCAGAAGAUUAUCUUAAAAUAAACUCAUACAAACCACAAAAUUUAGAACAAUUAAGCAUAAAUCAACCCCCCCACACUUAGCCUUUUGCUUAUCCUCAAGCAAAAUCAAUAUGAAUCCUAGGAAGAGAUUGAUUUCAACAAUGCUAAUUUCCAUCCAAACAUUCACAAAGUCAAUUCAAAAUUUUACAAUCAACACACAUCUCUCGAUUAUGCAAGUAACUCAAAGUUUGUCGCGACCACUCGACUUAAUUAAGGAUAACUAAGCCGGGAAACCGCGACGAAGGGACACAGAUAUCGACGGCGAUAGAAAGGGAGUUUCUAUCACGACCGAACUUAAUUGGGGAUAAUUAAGCCAGGAAAGCGUAACUAAGGACACAGUUAUCGACGGCGAUAGAAAGGGAAUGAACAAAUAAUAGAGGAUCGAACUAAAAUUUGUUUAAAGAAGGGAAAAUUUAUAAUACACCUGAUGUUUAGUCACAAGACUCGAACAGACUUGUAGGUUCAGAUAAAACCGGCUUAACUGAAAGAACAUAAAACCUAAGAGUACGCAGCGGAAUAACAAAAUCUGAUUACAUGUAUGAAGACAUGUAUCCAAGAGUUCAUUCGUUUAUCUUAUGACAAAAGCUCCGCUCUUCACUUCAUCUCCAUCAGCCACUGCUCAACCUGCACAUUUAGAAAUAUAUGCAGGGCUGAGUACAAAAAGCACCCAGCGGGCACGUAUGCCUAAAUAAACGUAUAAACGUGCUUCAUGAAACUGUAAAUUGUCAUGCCAUUAUAAACAGUACAACAAGGGAGUUUUAGCUAAAUAGGCCCAAGCUUACUAAAUUCAUUUAUGGUUCUUAAAGUUCGUCUGUGCAGACUAAGUUCUCUCGUAUCUAUCAUAUCUGGAACUGUGUGUCGGAGAGGUGGCCACCUCUCACGAACACUUGACCGGCCAACCCGCUAGAUGACUCACGGUCAUUGGUGUACACUAGUCAAGGCAGGAUAGCUAUCAACUGCUCAAGACCCGAAUUCGAUUACAUCAUUGGCAAAGCCAAAGCAGAUAGAUAUCAUACUAAAACUGAAACAUUUUAUGGCAAGACAAUACUUGAAAUAACUUUAAUUCAAAGAUUUUGUAACGAAAUAACUUGUUCAAAGGUAGCAUUAAACUCGUUUGAUAGAUAUAUAAAACUGAAAUUAACAGUUAAAUCAUCUCAUGCAUUCAUUCGUAUAAGAGGCCUACGACACGCAGGGGAUCUCUAUAUACGUAUAGUAAAAGUAAUGCCCACCUGAUCCUCAGUGUGGAAGAGAGGUGAUCUUAAGAGGUGGUACCGUCCUGUGAACCAAUUCCUACAAGACGAGUUCUCAACUCUUAGCACAUAUCAUGGAUAACAAAAACCGUUGUCUACUUGGGAUCUCUAGGUCAACCUAUUCCCGGACUGACAACGCAAAAUCGAACUAGGGAUUAUGCAUUUUACAUACGUUAGCUUAUCUUGAUGCCUUAUCUAGGUUAACUCACUCAUUUUCAUGAAAACUUUGCACAAAACAUAUCCCAAACUCGUCAUGCACAUAUACAUAAUAUUUCAUGAAACAUCCUUUAAAACCAACUUUCAAACUUAGAAAAUAAUUCAACAACUUGAGCUCUUAAGGGGCUGUUUUGCAACAGACACCAAUUCUGCCUCGGAUCUCUAAAUGAGGCUCCAAAGGACAUUCUGGAAACUAGACAUUUCAAGGAUCAUUCUCCAAUUUGAAUCGAAUGAAACAGAGUUCAAACGAGCAAGAUAUGCCCACUCAAAGAUGGGUACUUAACAAGCAAAAAUCUGGAAAUUUCAGAUUUCCAGAUUAGAACCAAGUCAAUGGGCCUUCUUAAAAAUUCAUAUCUCCCAUUACAAAACUACACUGGGAACCCCAAGGGUCAAUCUGAAAACUAGGGAGAGAGUGUGACACUCUCCAGUUGAAUUUACCCCAAGAAGAUUCAUGGUUUAGGAGAUAUUAACAUCCAAAGUUCAGUGCACAAAAAGAGUUCAAGUUCGGCAGAUUCAAAGUUUAAUUCAGAAAAACAACUUUAGGCUUUUACCAAAAAUUCUACAAAUGAACAAAUAAGUUCCCAACAUGUCAAUGGAUAUUCAAUAUAAAAAUGGGCUUGAGAAUCAAAGAUUAGGUUGGCCUUCGCCACCUCAAGGUCGUAGGUUUGUAAAACCUACUGGAGGAUACACAGAAUAAGAACUAGAUUUCAAAGAAUUAUACCGGGCAUUUCCCUCAUCCAAAAAUAGUGAGGCCAGUUUUCAAACGAAAGAUAAGGGAGUCUAGAGUAUCAUAUUAAUGUUUAAAAGGGUUUUACCGAUUGAAACGGGACUUAUGGCCUCCCAAAAAUUGUUUACCAGAAAUGCAUUCCAGACGGGCAGUGAUGUUUAACAAUUCAUAAAUAAAUCAUAAGAGCUCUAAAAAUUCUGAAACUAUACCAUAGUGUAGAAAACAUAUAAAGUAUGAUACAUAAUUAAUUUGGGAAUUUUUAGGCACCGUUUGGAUGGCUGAAAUCGCCUUGCAAAAUACUGCCGGAGCAGUGUGCUUAUGGCAGAUUCGCAGCUUUACCUCAUGCACGAUUUUUCACCCAAUAAACUCUACCAAAAUAAACAUCCAAGACCAUAAAACAUAUCCUCACACAAUAUAGCACACAUAUGUGUAAAAAUCCGUGGUCUUAAAGUAUUUUCAGUUGAGAAGACAAAAGAAAACUCACCCUCGAAGCACAACCUUCACUCUAACUUUACGCCCUAGUUUUACCAUGCUCUCCCUUGGUUUGAUACUCCUCUUGGG
rnacentral:lncRNA from 1 species